rnacentral:rRNA from 1 species
GACAGAGGGUGCAAACGUUUGUUCGGAAUUACUGGGCGUAAAGCGAGUGUAGGCGGUUUUCUAAGUCAGGUGUGAAAGCCCCGGGCUCAACCCGGGAAGUGCACUUGAAACUGGAAGGCUAGAGUAUCGGAGAGGUUGGUGGAAUUCUCGGUGUAGAGGUGAAAUUCGUAGAUAUCGAGAGGAACACCGGUGGCGAAGGCGGCCAACUGGACGAAUACUGACGCUGAGACUCGAAAGCGUGGGGAGCAAACAGG